GCCUGGUUCACAUAUGCCUGCGGUAUGCCUGCGACUGUAUCAUUAUGCCUCUACUUGCCGCCGAAAUACCGGCAAAGUUGAACUCAACUCAACUUUCCCGGCCUACCGCCGAUGUAACUGUGGCACUGGAGGCAAUCGGCGAACAAAUAUUCACAUAAUUUACGUUUUAAGCUACCAUCGGCAUCGUCGCCGGUACGUCGCAGGCAUAUAUGUGAACCAGGCUUAAAAUGUAUGAAGCUGGGUUAGCUUAACCCUAGGUUAACGUAAAAUUCAAAGGAAACUUCCUGACAGCUUGUCUAUAAAUUUGGAAAUAUUUCUUCAGAGAUCUUGU